rnacentral:rRNA from 1 species
AGUGAACGCUGGCGGUAGGCCUAACACAUGCAAGUCGAACGGCAGCACAGUAAGAGCUUGCUCUUACGGGUGGCGAGUGGCGGACGGGUGAGGAAUACAUCGGAAUCUACUUUUUCGUGGGGGAUAACGUAGGGAAACUUACGCUAAUACCGCAUACGACAUACGGGUGAAAUCAGGGGAUCUUCGGACCUUGCGCGAUUGAAUGAGCCGAUGUCGGAUUAGCUAGUUGGCGGGGUAAAGGCCCACCAAGGCGACGAUCCGUAGCUGGUCUGAGAGGAUGAUCAGCCACACUGGAACUGAGACACGGUCCAGACUCCUACGGGAGGCAGCAGUGGGGAAUAUUGCACAAUGGGCGCAAGCCUGAUCCAGCCAUACCGCGUGGGUGAAGAAGGCCUUCGGGUUGUAAAGCCCUUUUGUUGGGAAAGAAAAGCGGCAGGUUAAUACCCCGCUGUUCUGACGGUACCCAAAGAAUAAGCACCGGCUAACUUCGUG